UGACCCCAUAUUCCUUUUAUGGGCACUUCCCAUACAUCAAUCAGAGUGAGAGCGAGGACGCUCAUUAGCAUCGUUCCUUCGAGCAGAAGUCACAGACAUCAAAUGUUGUAAGUGCAUAUAAUGUAAACGAUAUGAACAUUAGUGAAUCAUAAGUUAUCCAGAGAUAGUGGGAUAAUGUUUUCUGUGUGUUGCUUUCUUGUGACUCACUUCUCCCGCUGGACGCCUUUGGGAAUUCAUGCUUUUCCGGAAACAAUCACUUGAGCUGAUCUGUUUUUUAUAAAUCUGAUAAAAUAAAGACUCUUCAUGAAGGAUGUAAUACUACUCUAUAGGUACUCAAGAUUAACAUGAGAUGAGCAGAAACAGUUUGUGUUAUGGGAACUUAAACAUCUAAUGUGGAGGUUGUUUCACAAAAGCUUGAAGGUUUUUUAGAUGGUACUGUAUGAAAUAAAUGUUUCUUUAAAGAACCUGAAUCUGACUUUAUGGUUCUUUGAGGAACCAACAAUGGUUCUUCUAUGGCAUCGCUGUGAAGUACCUUUUAGGCACCUUCAUUUUUAAAAGUGUAAUAACACAUAAGUGCAUAACUGCUUAUAGCAAAUCUUACAGCAUGUCAAAGUCACAUAUCAUGCAAAAAGCUUUUCUUUAUUUAGUGAAAGAGGAUUCAUACGCAUGAGUUUUCAUAGUUUUAUCAUCAGAUGUAAAUAUGCAUGUAUCUGGAUUCAGUCAGGUACAUUCUGGCAUCUUUUAAGCUUGUUACAGUUUAGAAAAGUUUACAGCUUCCUUAAAAAGUUUCUCGUGAACUGAAAAUGUCUGCAUGCCAUUAUAGGAGAUGCAUGAUAGGACUUUAAGCUCCAAAAGGUUGAAAGCCACUGAUUUAAUGGAUGAAAAUCACUGGAUUACUUUAAAAGAGCAACCCAGAAACCAUAACAACAACCCAUGAUAUAUUGUGCUACCCUAACGCAUUGGCAUCACAUUUUAAGGCAAAAAUAUCAAGAUCAAUAUGUGAAGUGUGAUUUUAUUGUCAUUUAUGUGUUUAUUUUUCAUUUUAUUUAAGAAUGUCUGCCUGUCAGUUUUAAUUUCAAAAAGAUAAUUAUCUCUAUCACCUCAACAGUAUCACGGUCUGUCUUGUUCUUCUUUUGUAAGUCAUGCUUGUCUGUGUCUGCUUUUGUUACUGUAGGCUAAAUGAUGUCUGCUGGACAAGAUGAUAUUUGUCUGGACAAAACCUGCAAGAAUUACAUUAUCUGAUAACUGUCUGUGUGUGUGCGUGCGUGUGUGCGUGCGUGUGUGUGUGUGUGUGUGUGUGCGUGCAUGCAUGCGUGUGUGUGCGUUCUUGUGUCCUAGAAAAUCUGGGCUUCUCAGAGGCUGAACAGGAAAUAAAACCUGACAUCAGAAAGCUGAGCUACAGAAAAGUUCAUAUGAUGCACAACCCUGCUGUUCAGCGGCAUUUAUUGCUUUGGCAGCACUGAAGGUCAAACACACACUGUGAGAUGAGUAAAGACAGCCACAGUGGAUAUGCUAAUAAGCAGAGACAAAUUCUCAGGACGUCCAAUCAGGACUAGGAACAUGAGAAGUGUGACGUCAAGUCUGAGAAGAUCCAGGUUCAUCAUAGCUCCAGACUCUCAUAGAUGUUUAAAAAAAACACAUACCAAUAGAAGAACGAAUGACAUUUCACCAUGACAUGGAUAAGCAUCUUUAAAUCCUAAAUCUUGACUGCAAAGCUUUCUCUGUCUGUUUUAAUUGAUGUCCCUUUGUUUUAUAGGCACAUGAUUGGCAUCUAAAGUUGGACAGCUCACGUAAUCUUUUUGCCAGGUGGGCGGGGUGGUGUUGGUGGUGGGCAGUGUUGGAGAAAGUUACUUUUAAAAGUAAUGCAUUACAAUAUUAAGUUACUCCCCAAAAAAGUAACUAAUUGCGUUACUUAGUUACUUUUCAUGGAAAGUAAUACUUACGUUAGUUUUAAGUUACUUUUGUGUUACUUUUGCGUUACUUUUCCUUACUUGGCUGAGGCUUGAUCUCUUUCAGGCCUUGCGGGUGUUUUUAUGACUGAAAAGUUCUGCAUUCAGAAAUUGCAUAUUUCCAUUGCAAAAAUGUUACUCUUUUAAAAAAGUAACUUAAAUAUUAAUGUGUACAUUUAAAAAGUAAUGCGUAACUUUACUCGUUACUUCAGAAAAGUAAUAUUAUUACGUAAUGCAAGUUACUUGUAAUGCGUUACCCCCAACACUGGUGGUGGGAUGGACCCCAUUCAUAAGUUUUUGCUUCUGGGAAGUCCAUUUUCCACGAUAGAAUGUGUUGGGCAGGUUAUCUUGAACUGUGGUGUGUACUAAAGUAGUAGAUGCUGCUUUGAAAUGUAAUGUGUUUUGUACUGCAUAAUUUAUUGUGUUUUGGAGAUGUAACUGAGUAACUGAGUAACUACUUUCAAUUUGUUUAACAUCCUUGGUAAGAUAUGGAAUGUAAUGGUAGUGAUGCCACCGAGCUGGGGUGCAGUCAAAGAUUUUCUCUUCCCCAUUCUCUCGUGUUAGUCCUGAUGUUGGCUGAAAGUACCUCAGUUUUUGUACAUCAGUAUCCAGCUUGAGUGUCAUGCUGUAUCUUAUUUAUGUGUACCUUGAGUUACUUGAAUUGUGAUGACUGAUAUAUUUUGUAACUUGUUACUUUUGUAAAUUACUACCUCCAACAGGGAUUCAGAUGUAGCAACAAAUGCAAUGUGUGAAAUUGGGAUAUUGUGAAAAUAAAAAGAUUGGAUCUUAAAUUGCUUAAACAUUGUCUGAAUGACGCACUGCAUCUGUAAUAUGGAUACAGAAAAUAUGAACUGA